rnacentral:rRNA from 1 species
AAUGAACGCUGGCGGCGGGCCUAAUACAUGCAAGUCGAGCGGACGAACGGGGAUCUUUCUCCGCUUAAGUGAGCGGCGGGCGGGUGAUGCACAGGUGGAUACCCUGCCUAGGGGACUAAGAUAACGUCACGAAACCGAAUCUCGUACCCGAUAAGAUAGUGAACGGCGGGGUUCAAUAGUGAACACCCUUUUUGCUGUCACUUAGUGGUGUAACCUCGCCGGAUGAGCUAGUUGGUAAGGUAACGGCUUACCAAGGCAACGAUGCGUAGCCGACCUGAGAGGGUGAUCGGCCACACUGGAACUGAGACACGGUCCAGACUCCUACGGGAGGCAGCAGUAGGGAAUCUUGCGCAAUGGGCGAAAGCCUGACGCAGCAACGCCGCGUGAGUGAUGAAGGUCUUCGGAUCGUAAAACUCUGUUAUUAGGGAAGAACAAAUGUGUAAGUAACUAUGGCCGUCUUGACGGUACCUAAACAGAAAGCCCCGGCUAACUACGUG